CAUGCAAGUCGAGCGAGAAGCUAACUUCGGUUAGUGGAAAGCGGCGCACGGGUGAGUAACGCGUGGGAAUUUACCUUUUGGUGGGGGACAACAGUUGGAAACGACUGCUAAUACCGCAUAUACCCUACGGGGGAAAGAUUUAUCGCCAAAAGAUGGGCCCGCGUUAGAUUAGGUAGUUGGUAGGGUCAAAGCCUACCAAGCCUACGAUCUAUAGCUGGUUUGAGAGAACGAUCAGCCACACUGGAACUGAGACACGGUCCAGACUCCUACGGGAGGCAGCAGUGGGGAAUCUUGCACAAUGGGCGAAAGCCUGAUGCAGCCAUGCCGCGUGAGUGAGGAGGCCUUCGGGUUGUAAAACUCUUUUAGAUGUGAAGAUGAUGACGGUAACAUCAGAAAAAGCCCCGGCUAACUUCGUGCCAGCAGCCGCGGUAAUACGAAGGGGGCUAGCGUUGUUCGGAAUUGCUGGGCGUAAAGAGCGUGUAGGCGGCUAGAUAAGUUAGGGGUGAAAUCCCGGAGCUCAACUUCGGAAUUGCCUUUGAUACUGUCUAGCUUGAGAUUGCGAGGGGAUAGCGGAAUACCCAGUGUAGAGGUGAAAUUCGU
rnacentral:rRNA from 1 species